rnacentral:rRNA from 1 species
GUGGGGAAUAUUGGGCAAUGGGCGCAAGCCUGACCCAGCAACGCCGCGUGAAGGAAGAAGGCUUUCGGGUUGUAAACUUCUUUUACCAGGGACGAAACAAAUGACGGUACCUGGUGAAUAAGCCACGGCUAACUACGUGCCAGCAGCCGCGGUAAUACGUAGGUGGCGAGCGUUAUCCGGAUUUAUUGGGUGUAAAGGGCGUGUAGGCGGGACAGCAAGUCAGAUGUGAAAACCAGAGGCUCAACCUCUGGCCUGCAUUUGAAACUGUUGUUCUUGAGUGUCGGAGAGGUAAGCGGAAUUCCGUGUGUAGCGGUGAAAUGCGUAGAUAUACGGAGGAACACCAGUGGCGAAGGCGGAUUACUGGACGAUAACUGACGCUGAGGCGCGAAAGCGUGGGGAGCAAACAGGAUUAGAAACCCGAGUAGUCC